rnacentral:rRNA from 1 species
UACGUAGGGUGCGAGCGUUGUCCGGAAUUACUGGGCGUAAAGAGCUCGUAGGUGGUUUGUCGCGUUGUCCGUGAAAACUCACAGCUCAACUGUGGGCGUGCGGGCGAUACGGGCAGACUGGAGUACUGCAGGGGAGACUGGAAUUCCUGGUGUAGCGGUGGAAUGCGCAGAUAUCAGGAGGAACACCGGUGGCGAAGGCGGGUCUCUGGGCAGUUCCUGACGCUGAGGCACGAAGGCCAGGGGAGCAAACGGG